rnacentral:rRNA from 1 species
AAAUGAAUUGACGGGGGCCCGCACAAGCAGUGGAGUAUGUGGUUUAAUUCGACGCAACGCGAAGAACCUUACCAAGACUUGACAUGCAAAUGAAUAUCUAAGAAAUUAGAUAGGCCUUCGGGACAUUUGUGCAGGUGAUGCAUGGUUGUCGUCAGCUCGUGUCGUGAGAUGUUGGGUUAAGUCCCGCAACGAGCGCAACCCUCGUGGUUAGUUGCCUUUAAAAGGAACUCUAGCCAGACUGCCGUAGUUAAUACGGAGGAAGGAGAGGAUGAUGUCAAAUCAUCACGUCCCUUAUGUCUUGGGCUACACACGUACUACAAUGGCUAUUACAGAAAGAAGCAAAUACGCAAGUAGGAGCAAAACUAAGAAAAAUAGCCCUAGUUCGGAUUGGAGGCUGCAACUCGCCUCCAUGAAGCUGGAAUUGCUAGUAAUCACAGGUCAGCAUACUGUGGUGAAUACGUUCCCGGGCCUUGUACACACCGCCCGU